rnacentral:rRNA from 1 species
GAACCUGCAGAUGGAUCAUCGCCG